rnacentral:rRNA from 1 species
GACGAACGCUGGCGGCGUGCUUAACACAUGCAAGUCGAACGAAAAGACCCUGCGUUUGUUUCGUGCUCGAGUGCCGAACGGGUGAGUAACACGUGUGUAACAUGCACUUGACUGACGGAUAACUUCACGAAACUCCGGCUAUUAUCGCAUAGGAUCUCUUGCUGCAUGGUGUUGGAUGGAAAGAUUCGGCGGUAGUGGAUAGACUCGCGGCUUAUCAGCUUGUUGGUGAGGUAGUGGCUUACCAAGGCUUUGACGGCUAGACGGCCUGAGAGGGUAACCGGCCACCUUAAGCCUGAGAUAGGGCACAGACUGGUACGGUCCGCAGUAGUCGAAAAUCUUGCAGAGCGAGCGGAAGCGUGAUAUAACAACGCCGCGUGCGGAAAAACGGGCUUCGGGUUAAAAACCACUUUCUCAUGAGCCGAGGCGUGAGUGACGGUAAUGGGUAAGGAAGCACCGGCUAACUACGUG